rnacentral:rRNA from 1 species
CGGUCCUGAGUAAAGUGGCGCACGGGUGAGUAACACGUGACUAACCUACCCUGGAGUGGGGGAUAACUGAGGGAAACCUUAGCUAAUACCGCAUAAUACCUAUGGGUCAAAGGAGCAAUUCGCUUUAGGAGGGGGUCGCGGCAGAUUAGUUAGUUGGCGGGGUAAUGGCCCACCAAGACAGUGAUCUGUAUCCGGCCUGAGAGGGCGCACGGACACACUGGAACUGAAACACGGUCCAG